AGAAGUGAUUUGAUUUGACGAUGUAGGCAACAUCGUUGUUAUAACACCCACAUGCGGCCAGUUGGAGGGGGUCGAUAGGCCAAAGAUGGGUUUUGGCUAUUUUUGUACAGUCGAUUGCUCAAGACAUUAGAAGUCUAUUUAAAUGUUUGUUAGGCAGUUUUCCUCAUAUUCUAAAACAUAUCACUGUUUCCCUACAUACUUUAACCAUACAGGAAAAAAGUCUAACAUUGCAGAUGGCUAAUUAAGGUUCAACAAACUGUUGGAUCAUCACUACCUUGCCUCAUCCCCAACGCAUCCCAAAAGUUUUGGAUGAAACAUCAUUAUUAUUCCAGAGAAAACAGUUCCACCUCUCCACAAGGGCGCUGUUGACUGACGGCUGGUAACCGGAGCUGGUGGAGGACGCCGGCAGCCAAUGGGAGGAGAAGAGGAGAGAGAAGGGAAGGGAGGCCCCACGAGCGCCGAGCAGCGCGCGCUACAGCGCAGGACAGCGCGCGAGGACCGGGCGCUUCUUCCCCAGCUCUCCCUCCCGGAGCUGAUCACACUGGGAGAAGCUGGGAGAAGCUGCAGCUCAUUGCUUUAAUGAGUUAAAGCCAAGAAUGGAGAACCUGCAUGACCAGCAAGUGCCUCUUAGUAGCUCACAUGGAAAGGCGUCCUGCAGCAGCAGAGCAGCGAGACAAGACAAGAAAAGAAAAUUCAUUAGCACUGACCUGGCUUUGGACACUGAGGGUAAGCUUUAGAAGGUGUUGGCGGGUGGGGUGCUGGUGCUGCUGGUGGUGGUGGUGC
rnacentral:lncRNA from 1 species